AGGUGAAUAAAAUCUUGUUUUAAGGCUGAACAAGCAGGUUAACCUUAUCAAGGAUGAUCUUGAAUUCCAGUGGCCACAGUGGAGAACUUUUAACCUAGACAAGCUUAUCCAUUUACAGGUGCCCUAGAGAAAAAGGGAUCUCACUAUAAAGGGUAGAGGGAAAUUAUUUUUCCUUAUUGACAACUUCUUGUGACCAGUAUGAGACCCACUAAGACACCCUGUUUGCUCCAGAGCGUGCAGAUGGGAUCCUGGGAAAACUGGCAGAAGCUGGCAAAAGGGUCAGCUAUUGCCUUCUUGUUUGCCUUGCUUUGUGUCCUGAGAACUUGGCUUGGGUUUCUGCCUGAUUGAGGCAUGCAGGUUCUUGCGUGUGCAGGCAGCUCAAAUGUCAGGUUGGGGGUCCCAAAAAUACAGCCGGACAGAAAUGUGGAGGUGGAGGCCAAGAGAGGAAUCAAGGAGAAGAAUUAGAAGGCCUCCAGCAGAAUCUAAACCAAAAAAAAACGGAGAAGUUUGGACACAGACACCUUCCCCGGGAGACUUCCAUGUGAAGACUGAAGUGAUGCUGGUAUAAGCCAAGGAACUGCCAGAAACUACGAGAGAGGCCUGGAACAGGUCUUUCCCUGGCACCUUCAAAGGGAGCAUGACUCUGGUGACACCUUGAUCCAAAACUUCUAGCCUCCAGAGCUGUGAGACAGUGCAUUUCUGUUGUUUAAGCAACUCAGUUUGUGGUUCUUGUUACAGCAGGCUUAGAAAACUAAUAUACUACUCUAUUUUUAAAUUUGCUUUCAAGUAAAUUUUAAUAUUCAAAGGGUGGAGGAUGACUGUGGGAGUGCAAGGAGUUGAGAGGACAUCCUCACAUAUAAGACUGUUACUCCGUUCUACAUGAAAAAGGACUCCGAAAUGGAUUCUCUCUCUGGGAAAAGAAUUAAUUGUGAUAUUGUCAUUUCUCACUUUUAAUGUAUGAGAUAUGCACCAAGAGCAAGAUGGAGAAGAGUCCUGAGCUAAUGUAUCGCUAUGCAAAAAUAGUGAAUGUAGGUAAUUAGAUAAGAAAGGAUUAAAUAUCAUCUUGAAGACUGAGAAUGGCUGUCCCAUCAAAAGACUUCUAGCUCCUACGCAGAUGAAGAGCUUUAAUUCUGGAGAAAUCUAGAUAGAUAGAGACUGUUGACACAGAUAGUCCUAGAGCUAACUAAAAAGUCACCAGAUUAGAUGUUUCUAUAUCAUUGGGGGCAUGAAUGGGAAUAUAUUAAGUGAUAAUUAGUAAUGGUAAUAGUGAUAAUGGCUAUUUCUAAUGGGUAUGCUCAGUCUGUGUGGG
rnacentral:lncRNA from 1 species